AAAGUAAUGUAGGUUAUUUGUUGAAGCAAUUUACGAUUAUUGAAUUAUAAAAUAAUAAUAUAUUCAAUGUCCAUAAUAAAAGGCUCGAGCAAUAUUCGCAUAAAUAAAUUUAACCGCAAAUUUACCCGAAGUCCCUGCGGUUGGCACGCAAGCUCAAAUAAUAAUAGGUACCAACGUUAUCUAGCCAUUUGCGUACAGAAUUAAAUAUAAUUCUGGCAAGCUAUCCUUACGUGCCAUAAUAUUAUUGUCGAUAAUUACAAUCGAUUGCAUUUUGUCGUUGGAUAUACCUUCACAAUAAUUUAUGAAAUAGACAUUUCGGAACGUUCUUGGCCGAAAAUCGUUUGUAUAAACCGCAUAAACGUUCAAAUUGCCUACCAUCAACCCCUUAGAUUGAU